rnacentral:rRNA from 1 species
UGUGUGUUAGUGGAAGCGUCUGGAAAGGCGCGCGAUACAGGGUGACAGCCCCGUACACAAAAAUGCACAUGCUGUGAGCUCGAUGAGUAGGGCGGGACACGUGGUAUCCUGUCUGAAUAUGGGGGGACCAUCCUCCAAGGCUAAAUACUCCUGACUGACCGAUAGUGAACCAGUACCGUGAGGGAAAGGCGAAAAGAACCCCGGCGAGGGGAGUGAAAAAGAACCUGAAACCGUGUACGUACAAGCAGUGGGAGCACGCUUAGGCGUGUGACUGCGUACCUUUUGUAUAAUGGGUCAGCGACUUAUAUUCUGUAGCAAGGUUAACCGAAUAGGGGAGCCGAAGGGAAACCGAGUCUUAACUGGGCGUUAAGUUGCAGGGUAUAGACCCGAAACCCGGUGAUCUAGCCAUGGGCAGGUUGAAGGUUGGGUAACACUAACUGGAGGACCGAACCGACUAAUGUUGAAAAAUUAGCGGAUGACUUGUGGCUGGGGGUGAAAGGCCAAUCAAACCGGGAGAUAGCUGGUUCUCCCCGAAAGCUAUUUAGGUAGCGCCUCGUGAAUUCAUCUCCGGGGGUAGAGCACUGUUUCGGCAAGGGGGUCAUCCCGACUUACCAACCCGAUGCAAACUGCGAAUACCGGAGAAUGUUAUCACGGGAGACACACGGCGGGUGCUAACGUCCGUCGUGAAGAGGGAAACAACCCAGACCGCCAGCUAAGGUCCCAAAGUCAUGGUUAAGUGGGAAACGAUGUGGGAAGGCCCAGACAGCCAGGAUGUUGGCUUAGAAGCAGCCAUCAUUUAAAGAAAGCGUAAUAGCUCACUGGUCGAGUCGGCCUGCGCGGAAGAUGUAACGGGGCUAAACCAUGCACCGAAGCUGCGGCAGCGACGCUUAUGCGUUGUUGGGUAGGGGAGCGUUCUGUAAGCCUGUGAAGGUGUGCUGUGAGGCAUGCUGGAGGUAUCAGAAGUGCGAAUGCUGACAUAAGUAACGAUAAAGCGGGUGAAAAGCCCGCUCGCCGGAAGACCAAGGGUUCCUGUCCAACGUUAAUCGGGGCAGGGUGAGUCGACCCCUAAGGCGAGGCCGAAAGGCGUAGUCGAUGGGAAACAGGUUAAUAUUCCUGUACUUGGUGUUACUGCGAAGGGGGGACGGAGAAGGCUAUGUUGGCCGGGCGACGGUUGUCCCGGUUUAAGCGUGUAGGCUGGUUUUCCAGGCAAAUCCGGAAAAUCAAGGCUGAGGCGUGAUGACGAGGCACUACGGUGCUGAAGCAACAAAUGCCCUGCUUCCAGGAAAAGCCUCUAAGCAUCAGGUAACAUCAAAUCGUACCCCAAACCGACACAGGUGGUCAGGUAGAGAAUACCAAGGCGCUUGAGAGAACUCGGGUGAAGGAACUAGGCAAAAUGGUGCCGUAACUUCGGGAGAAGGCACGCUGAUAUGUAGGUGAAGUCCCUCGCGGAUGGAGCUGAAAUCAGUCGAAGAUACCAGCUGGCUGCAACUGUUUAUUAAAAACACAGCACUGUGCAAACACGAAAGUGGACGUAUACGGUGUGACGCCUGCCCGGUGC